GGGGAACUGAAACAUCUAAGUACCCCGAGGAAAAGAAAUCAACCGAGAUUCCCCCAGUAGCGGCGAGCGAACGGGGAGGAGCCCAGAGCCUGAAUCAGCAUGUGUGUUAGUGGAAGCGUCUGGAAAGGCGCGCGAUACAGGGUGACAGCCCCGUACACAAAAGCGCAUGUGCUGUGAGCUCGAUGAGUAGGGCGGGACACGUGGUAUCCUGUCUGAAUAUGGGGGGACCAUCCUCCAAGGCUAAAUACUCCUGACUGACCGAUAGUGAACCAGUACCGUGAGGGAAAGGCGAAAAGAACCCCGGCGAGGGGAGUGAAAAAGAACCUGAAACCGUGUACGUACAAGCAGUGGGAGCCCCACCACUAAGCCAGUGGUGAACUCCACAUACGCAUCCUUUGCUGAAGGCAAUGGUUAACGGAGCGAAAGCGACGUUCAACCGCAAAACAAGCAGAGGGGGCUUAGUGGUGGGGUGACUGCGUACCUUUUGUAUAAUGGGUCAGCGACUUAUAUUCUGUAGCAAGGUUAACCGUAUAGGGGAGCCGGAGGGAAACCGAGUCUUAAUUGGGCGUUAAGUUGCAGGGUAUAGACCCGAAACCCGGUGAUCUAGCCAUGGGCAGGUUGAAGGUUGGGUAACACUAACUGGAGGACCGAACCGACUAAUGUUGAAAAAUUAGCGGAUGACCUGUGGCUGGGGGUGAAAGGCCAAUCAAACCGGGAGAUAGCUGGUUCUCCCCGAAAGCUAUUUAGGUAGCGCCUCGUGAAUUCAUCUCCGGGGGUAGAGCACUGUUUCGGCUAGGGGGCCAUCCCGGCUUACCAACCCGAUGCAAACUGCGAAUACCGGAGAAUGUUAUCACGGGAGACACACGGCGGGUGCUAACGUCCGUCGUGAAGAGGGAAACAACCCAGACCGCCAGCUAAGGUCCCAAAGUCAUGGUUAAGUGGGAAACGAUGUGGGAAGGCCCAGACAGCCAGGAUGUUGGCUUAGAAGCAGCCAUCAUUUAAAGAAAGCGUAAUAGCUCACUGGUCGAGUCGGCCUGCGCGGAAGAUGUAACGGGGCUAAACCAUGCACCGAAGCUGCGGCAGCGACGCUUAUGCGUUGUUGGGUAGGGGAGCGUUCUGUAAGCCUGUGAAGGUGGCCUGUGAGGGUUGCUGGAGGUAUCAGAAGUGCGAAUGCUGACAUAAGUAACGAUAAAGCGGGUGAAAAGCCCGCUCGCCGGAAGACCAAGGGUUCCUGUCCAACGUUAAUCGGGGCAGGGUGAGUCGACCCCUAAGGCGAGGCCGAAAGGCGUAGUCGAUGGGAAACAGGUUAAUAUUCCUGUACUUGGUGUUACUGCGAAGGGGGGACGGAGAAGGCUAUGUUGGCCGGGCGACGGUUGUCCCGGUUUAAGCGUGUAGGUGUGUGUUCCAGGUAAAUCCGGUUCACUUUAACACUGAGGCGUGAUGA
rnacentral:rRNA from 1 species